rnacentral:tRNA from 1 species
GACCUCUGGCUCAGUGAUGCAGCAUCUGCUUGGCAUGCGGAAGGCCCCGGGUUCAAUUCCCGGCAUCUCCA